UGCCCCAGUAACGGCGAGUGAAGCGGCAACAGCUCAAAUUUGAAAUCUGGCCCCUCAAGGUCCGAGUUGUAAUUUGUAGAGGAUGCUUUUGGUGAGGUGCCGCCCGAGUUCCCUGGAACGGGACGCCGCAGAGGGUGAGAGCCCCGUCUGGCUGGCCGCCGAACCUAUGUAAAGCUCCUUCGACGAGUCGAGUAGUUUGGGAAUGCUGCUCAAAAUGGGAGGUAUAUGUCUUCUAAAGCUAAAUAUUGGCCAGAGACCGAUAGCGCACAAGUAGAGUGAUCGAAAGAUGAAAAGCACCUUGAAAAGAGGGUUAAAUAGUACGUGAAAUUGUUGAAAGGGAAGCGCUUGUGACCAGACUUGGGCGCGGCGGAUCAUCCGGGGUUCUCCCCGGUGCACUUCGCCGUGUCCAGGCCAGCAUCAGUUCGUCGCGGGGGAAAAAGGCUUCGGGAACGUGGCUCCUCCGGGAGUGUUAUAGCCCGUUGCACAAUACCCUGCGGUGGACUGAGGACCGCGCUUCGGCAAGGAUGCUGGCGUAAUGGUCACCAGCGACCCGUCUUGAAAACACGGA
rnacentral:rRNA from 1 species